rnacentral:rRNA from 1 species
CACUUUAAUUGAUUUCUUCGGAAUGAAGUUUUUGUGACUGAGUGGCGGACGGGUGAGUAACGCGUGGGUAACCUGCCUCAUACAGGGGGAUAACAGUUGGAAACGACUGCUAAUACCGCAUAAGCGCACAGGACCGCAUGGUCCGGUGUGAAAAACUCCGGUGGUAUAAGAUGGACCCGCGUUGGAUUAGCUGGUUGGUGAGGUAACGGCCCACCAAGGCGACGAUCCAUAGCCGGCCUGAGAGGGUGAACGGCCACAUUGGGACUGAGACACGGCCCAGACUCC